ACAAGCACGCAAAAAUUGGAUAUUUUACUACGGUGGUAUUACAAAGUAAUGGACUAAAUAUUUUAAAAGUACGUAACUAAGAGUGGAGGAUGAAAAAAAGACAUUACUUUUGUGUCACAAUCUCACUAUACCAACCAAAUUACAUUAUUUUUGAUGUUGACCUCAAGAAAAUUUCUCGUUCCGUCCAUUUAUCCCCACGCCUACUAGA